rnacentral:rRNA from 1 species
UACGUAGGUGGCAAGCGUUGUCCGGAAUUAUUGGGCGUAAAGCGCUCGCAGGCGGUCUCUUAAGUCUGAUGUGAAAGCCCACGGCUCAACCGUGGAGGGUCAUUGGAAACUGGGGGACUUGAGUACUGGAGAGGAGAGUGGAAUUCCAUGUGUAGCGGUGAAAUGCGUAGAUAUAUGGAGGAACACCAGUGGCGAAGGCGGCUCUCUGGCCAGUAACUGACGCUGAGGCGCGAAAGCGUGGGGAGCAAACAGG